CGCAAAUGCACAUGCACUAGUCUUGGAACACAAGGCCUCAUUGUGAGCUCUGGUUAGCAUCACAAUGAAUGUCACCAUUGCCUAGCAAAGAGUCCCUGCUGCUUGGUGGAGAAGGAGACCUCUGUGGAAGUGUGUUGGUUGUGGAGUCUUGCCUGUCUUCUCUAUGGUAUCCACGGGGUUGUCCCAUGAUCCUAGGAGAGGAAAAACAUAAGCCAGCCUGAAGAUACGUCAAGCACAGCCACAGGAAUAAACUGCAAAAUCCCUAAGAAUCCAAAAGGAUCUGCAGGAUUUCUCAAGCCUGCCUAGAUGUCGAAUCUUUGAACAUCGCUUGGACUCGUUCACAAGUCAGCUCAUUCUCUCAGGAUCCAUUGUGUUUCUCAACAGCGCUACUGGACACCAUUCUCAGGCUGGCAAUUGCCACAGAGGGCAUCUGAGACAUUGUCUCAACUUCAUCUGCACCAGUGGGAGGCCUUUCCCAGGUGGGAGAACACUACUCCACUUUGGAAUUGCCAUUGUCAGUGUUCCUGGCUUUCCCAGAGAGCCACUGCAAGGCCCAGGAUGAAGGGAGGCAGUGAGAUUAAGGACACAAUCAUCUUUCACUGACAUCCAACUCUGGGACCUCAGAGGGCUGCAUUAUUCCUGUAAGAUGAGAAACAGACAGCCUAUUUUGGCUUUUGCAUGGUGAUCAAGCCUCUGUUGUAUUUCAUCUGCAAGUCUUCUCAUUAGGAGGGGCUUUUUCAUUGUCUGCUGCUGGAUGGAACAGCCUCUUGCCACAGAUUAUUUGGCUGCCAGGGAUUUCAAAGAGCACAAGAGACUUCAG
rnacentral:lncRNA from 10 species